UGAAAGGGAGUGGUAGUAUAAAUAAAUGACUCUUCAACUAGUAUUUAGAAAAUGGAUCCAAAAACUCUCAUCUAAACUUUAGCUAGCCAAUGUUUAGCUGGCUAAAAAAAGCCUCUAAACUUGAGGGGUGGAUUCAAACAGAGCUUUAAUUCUUCGGCUGAUUUUCCCUGAUGGAACAAUACAACAUCUUUGAGGCAUAUGCUUUCAAAUUGUAUCCUUCCAUCUUGAAUGAGUUAAUACUGUUAACAGAUAUGGUUGUAUUUGUGUUUGA
rnacentral:lncRNA from 1 species